CAGGCUUAACACAUGCAAGUCGAGGGGCAUCAGGUAGAAAGCUUGCUUUCUUUGCUGGCGACCGGCGCACGGGUGAGUAACACGUAUCCAACCUGCCCUUUACUCGGGGAUAGCCUUUCGAAAGAAAGAUUAAUACCCGAUAGCAUAAUGAUUCCGCAUGGUUUCAUUAUUAAAGGAUUCCGGUAAAGGAUGGGGAUGCGUUCCAUUAGGUUGUUGGUGAGGUAACGGCCCACCAAGCCUUCGAUGGAUAGGGGUUCUGAGAGGAUGGUCCCCCACAUUGGAACUGAGACACGGUCCAAACUCCUACGGGAGGCAGCAGUGAGGAAUAUUGGUCAAUGGGCGCUAGCCUGAACCAGCCAAGUAGCGUGAAGGAUGAAGGCUCUAUGGGUCGUAAACUUCUUUUAUAUAAGAAUAAAGUGCAGUAUGUAUACUGUUUUGUAUGUAUUAUAUGAAUAAGGAUCGGCUAACUCCGUGCCAGCAGCCGCGGUAAUACGGAGGAUCCGAGCGUUAUCCGGAUUUAUUGGGUUUAAAGGGAGCGUAGGUGGACUGGUAAGUCAGUUGUGAAAGUUUGCGGCUCAACCGUAAAAUUGCAGUUGAUACUGUCAGUCUUGAGUACAGUAGAGGUGGGCGGAAUUCGUGGUGUAGCGGUGAAAUGCUUAGAUAUCACGAAGAACACCGAUUGCGAAGGCAGCUCACUGGACUGCAACUGACACUGAUGCUCGAAAGUGUGGGUAUCAAACAGGAUUAGAUACCCUGGUAGUCCACACAGUAAACGAUGAAUACUCGCUGUUUGCGAUAUACAGUAAGCGGCCAAGCGAAAGCAUUAAGUAUUCCACCUGGGGAGUACGCCGGCAACGGUGAAACUCAAAGGAAUUGACGGGGGCCCGCACAAGCGGAGGAACAUGUGGUUUAAUUCGAUGAUACGCGAGGAACCUUACCCGGGCUUAAAUUGCAGUGGAAUGAUGUGGAAACAUGUCAGUGAGCAAUCACCGCUGUGAAGGUGCUGCAUGGUUGUCGUCAGCUCGUGCCGUGAGGUGUCGGCUUAAGUGCCAUAACGAGCGCAACCCUUAUCUUUAGUUACUAACAGGUUAUGCUGAGGACUCUAGAGAGACUGCCGUCGUAAGAUGUGAGGAAGGUGGGGAUGACGUCAAAUCAGCACGGCCCUUACGUCCGGGGCUACACACGUGUUACAAUGGGGGGUACAGAAGGCAGCUAGCGGGUGACCGUAUGCUAAUCCCAAAAUCCUCUCUCAGUUCGGAUCGAAGUCUGCAACCCGACUUCGUGAAGCUGGAUUCGCUAGUAAUCGCGCAUCAGCCACGGCGCGGUGAAUACGUUCCCGGGCCUUGUACACACCGCCCGUCAAGCCAUGGGAGCCGGGGGUACCUGAAGUACGUAACCGCAAGGAUCGUCCUAGGGUAAAACUGGUGACUGG
rnacentral:rRNA from 1 species